UACGUAGGGGGGCAAGCGUUGUCCGGAAUCAUUGGGCGUAAAGCGCGUGUAGGCGGCCCGGUAAGUCCGCUGUGAAAGUCGGGGGCUCAACCCUCGAAAGCCGGUGGAUACUGUCGGGCUCGAGUACGGGAGAGGCGAGUGGAAUUCCUGGUGUAGCGGUGAAAUGCGCAGAGUAUCAGGAGGAACACCGAUUGCGAAGGC
rnacentral:rRNA from 1 species